rnacentral:rRNA from 1 species
UAGGGAAUCUUCGGCAAUGGACGAAAGUCUGACCGAGCAACGCCGCGUGAGUGAAGAAGGUUUUCGGAUCGUAAAACUCUGUUGUUAGAGAAGAACAAGGACGUUAGUAACUGAACGUCCCCUGACGGUAUCUAACCAGAAAGCCACGGCUAACUACGUUCCAGCAGCCGCGGUAAUACGUAGGUGGCACGCGUUGUCCGGAUUUAUUGGGCGUAAAGCGAGCGCAGGCGGUUUCUUAAGUCUGAUGUGAAAGCCCCCGGCUCAACCGGGGAGGGUCAUUGGAAACAGGGAGACUUGAGUGCAGAAGAGGAGAGUGGAAUUUCAUGUGUAGCGGUGAAAUGCGUAGAUAUAUGGAGGAACUCCAGUGGCAAAGGCGGCUCUCUGGUCUGUAACUGACGAUGUGGCUCGAAAGCGUGGGGUGCAAACAGG